CUACGGGGUGCAGCAGUGAGGAAUAUUGCACAAUGGGGGGAACCCUGAUGCAGCAACGCCGCGUGGAGGAUGACGCAUUUCGGUGUGUAAACUCCUUUUAUAUGUCAAGAAAAUGACGGUAGCAUAUGAAUAAGCACCGGCUAACUCCGUGCCAGCGGCCGCGGUAAUACGGAGGGUGCAAGCGUUACUCGGAAUCACUGGGCGUAAAGGACGCGUAGGCGGGUUGGAAAGUCAGGUGUGAAAUCCUACAGCUUAACUGUAGAACUGCACUUGAAACUUCCAAUCUAGAGUAUGGGAGGGGGAGAUGGAAUUAGUGGUGUAGGGGUAAAAUCCGUAGAUAUCACUAGGAAUACCUAAAGCGAAGGCGAUCUCCUGGAACAUUACUGACGCUAAGGCGUGAAAGCGUGGGGAGCAAACAGGAUUAGAUACCCGUGUAGUC
rnacentral:rRNA from 1 species